UACAGAGGUCUCAAGCGUUGUUCGGAUUCAUUGGGCGUAAAGGGUGCGUAGGCGGCGGGGCAAGUCUGAUGUGAAAUCCCGGGGCUCAACCCCGGAACUGCAUUGGAUACUGCUCUGCUUGAGCACUGGAGAGGAGACUGGAAUUUACGGUGUAGCAGUGAAAUGCGUAGAGAUCCGGAAGAACACCGGUGGCGAAGGCGGCCUGCUGGGCAGUAGCUGACGCUGAUGCGCGACAGCGUGGGGAGCAAACAGG
rnacentral:rRNA from 1 species